UUUAUAGAAAAUGGUACUAAUUUUAUUUCAUUUUUUGCUGCUGGCAUUUUUUAUUUGAAAUAUCUUUGUAUGUGGACUAUGUUAUGUGAAACAUGCGUUUAUAUAGGCUGAUGUACAACUGAAUGAAUGGAUAAUUGUUAUUAUGAGUCGGAUGUCCUGUUUUUCUAGUGAAAGAAGUCGAAAUAUGUGAUAUGGCCUAGACGUUGCCGCGUUUUCCCGCCAAAUUUACCUUAGCAACAAGUAGCCCCGCCCCUUGCAGCAUCUAUAAUUAAUGAAAGAGUAUGAUUAUACCAGAAGGUUGAGUUUGAGACAAUCACUGAUAUGAAGAUAUACAUUGACAAUAAGAAUGAAAUUUAAAUAUGCAUUGACUAAUUCUUGAUAAUAGCUCAUUUGCACAAGUGUUUCCAUCCUUGAAGUUGAUUGGCUCACGCACGAGCAGCGCUUUGUUCUGAUUGGUCCACGUGUACUCUGCAUUAUGAUUGGCUGCGAAAGCCUGUGUUAGGCGCCAUUACCACUUGGAGGAGGGUUUUUGUUGACGGACACGCUCAUAGAAAUUGCAUUUGUGCAGUGACAUUCUUAUUAACGCCAGUAUUUCUGGGAAGAGCUGGCAGUUAAAGUGUUAAAGAACUUUUGAAGUCAUAGUGAUAACCCCAAAGACUUCAGUGUAGUCUGGGAAAGAACACUGGAGUUGGGCUUGUCACCUUGCAGAGUGAUUUCUACCUUCACAUGGUCUUCGCAUUGAUGCAAGGGUGCAGGCUGGCUACCUGUCAUGAGAUGGUGUACCUGUCGUGACGUAACGUGCCUGUGGUGAUGAGGUGGUAAUGUGAAGCGUCAGUGCUACCUGCUUUGGGAUACGAUGUAAAUAUUUUUAUGUUAUGUGUGAUGAAUUUGCUACUUGUCUAUCAUUUUUAAGUGCUUAUACAUUCAUUUAUAUAUACGGUAGAUAUGCAAGUUUAGACUAAUAAAUAUUCCUUUUUGUGUGUGUGUGUGUGUGUGUAAUGAAUGUUCAUUGAGUCGGGCUGUAUAUCUACAGAUAGUUCCGAUUAAUUUCAUAUAUUUAUGUUAAUAGGUUUCCAGUCUUUUGAAAUAAGAAAAGUAAAGCAUUACACAUCUUUAAUUCAUGUAUCAAGAAAGCCCAGACUUAAAUAACUGUGGUACUUUGUUCAAUGACCUGUAUUUCAGUACAUGGUUACCAAUGUUUUAUUUGUUUGCAGCUCGAAUGUCUCCAGGAAAGGAUUAAACCGUGUGCAAGAAUC